rnacentral:rRNA from 1 species
AUUGAACGCUGGCGGCAUGCCUUACACAUGCAAGUCGAACGGUAACAGGUCUUCGGAUGCUGACGAGUGGCGAACGGGUGAGUAAUACAUCGGAACGUGCCCGAUCGUGGGGGAUAACGGAGCGAAAGCUUUGCUAAUACCGCAUACGAUCUACGGAUGAAAGCAGGGGACCGCAAGGCCUUGCGCGGACGGAGCGGCCGAUGGCAGAUUAGGUAGUUGGUGGGAUAAAAGCUUACCAAGCCGACGAUCUGUAGCUGGUCUGAGAGGACGACCAGCCACACUGGGACUGAGACACGGCCCAGACUCCUACGGGAGGCAGCAGUGGGGAAUUUUGGGACAAUGGGCGAAAGCCUGAUCCAGCCAUGCCGCGUGCAGGAUGAAGGCCUCGG